AGAAUGAACGCUAGCGAUAUGCUUAACACAUGCAAGUUGAACGUUGUUUUCGAAUAAAAAUGAAAACAAAGUGGCGAACGGGUGCGUAACACGUAGGAAUCUGCCAAACAGUUUGGGCCAAAUCCCUGAAUGAAUAAAAGCUAAAAAGCGCUGUUUGAUGAGCCCACGUAGUAUUAGGUAGUUGGUUAGGUAAAGCUGACCAAGCCUACGAUGCUUAGCUGGUCUUUUCGGAUGAUCAGCCACACUGGGAUUGAGAACGGCCCAGACUCCUACGGGGGGCAGCAGUGAGGAAUUUUCGGCAAUGGGGGCAACCCUGACCGAGCAACGGCCGCGUGCAGGAUGACAGUCUUCGGAUUGUAAACUGCUUUUCUCGGGGACGAGUAAGGACGGUACCGAGGAAGAAGCCCCGGCUAACUACGUGCCAGCAGCCGC
rnacentral:rRNA from 1 species